UGGUGCCUUCGGGAACUCUGAGACAGGUGCUGCAUGGCUGUCGUCAGCUCGUGUUGUGAAAUGUUGGGUUAAGUCCCGCAACGAGCGCAACCCUUAUCCUUUGUUGCCAGCGGUCCGGCCGGGAACUCAAAGGAGACUGCCAGUGAUAAACUGGAGGAAGGUGGGGAUGACGUCAAGUCAUCAUGGCCCUUACGAGUAGGGCUACACACGUGCUACAAUGGCGCAUACAAAGAGAAGCGACCUCGCGAGAGCAAGCGGACCUCAUAAAGUGCGUCGUAGUCCGGAUUGGAGUCUGCAACUCGACUCCAUGAAGUCGGAAUCGCUAGUAAUCGUAGAUCAGAAUGCUACGGUGAAUAC
rnacentral:rRNA from 1 species